rnacentral:tRNA from 1 species
GCAACUGUGGUGUAAUGGUGAACAUGCCUCCCUCCCAAGGAGGCGAUCCGGGUUCGAUUUCUCGGCAGCUGCA